rnacentral:rRNA from 1 species
GCUAUUUAAGUCAGGGGUGAAAUCCCGGAGCUCAACUCCGGAACUGCCUUUGAAACUGGAUGGCUAGAAUCCUGGAGAGGCGAGUGGAAUUCCGAGUGUAGAGGUGAAAUUCGUAGAUAUUCGGAAGAACACCAGUGGCGAAGGCGACUCGCUGGACAGGUAUUGACGCUGAGGUGCGAAAGCGUGGGGAGCAAACAGG